rnacentral:snoRNA from 1 species
UUGAUGACUCCAGGACUUGCAGAGAGGUGAAGACACUUCUCGCGGCUGA